rnacentral:ncRNA from 1 species
AUGAAAAUGAUGAAUAGGAAAAGUAAAGCGACAAGACAGUCCAGAGAGCAUCGGGAUGGUGGAACGAUGUCUGUCAAAGCGUUUGAAGUGCGCCUAUGGAGUGCCUCUUAAUCGAGGACGGCUGAUUCACGUUAAGAAUUGAAAGGGAGGCCAGGCCUAAGUAAAGUGGAACCGCGCGCAAGCGUCUUUACA